rnacentral:tRNA from 3 species
GCGGGCGUUGCAUAGUGGUAGUGCUUCUGCCUUCCAAGCAGACAGCGCGGGUUCGAUUCCCGCCGCCCGCUCCA